GGAGGGAGCAGGUGAGAGAGAGCAUGUGCAUCACUCUGGACCAUGUGGUGCCUGGCGUGGAACUCGGGUCUCCUGCUAGAGGGCCCGGCACUGUAGCCGCUGUGCCACCUCCUGAGCCCCGUGGCCGUGAGGCGUCCGAGCGCACGGUUUGCACGCACAUUGUGCAGCUCUCAGCUGGGCCUCACGGGGGAGUGAUUAAGGUUUGCAAAGACCUUCAAACGAGUGCGCUGGAUAGAUUUCACCUGGGGGAGAAGCCCUGCUGACCAGAGGGGAAGGAGGAGAAAACACCUAAGAGACGCCAGGACGGGACAGACAGACAGAAGACGGUGGAGGAAGAGGGGACCGGCAUCUCCGCUUAGGACAACACAGGCAACCUUGGGCUCAGCGAGUCUGGAAUCUUUUGCCAUCACCCAGAAAACUCUGGGUCCCUGGGACACUUGACUGCAGUUUGCUCUUGGCCCAUCAUAUGCUCCUGAAUCCUUAAACCUUUCUCCUCAGAAAAGCUCUAAGAUCUGUCUCUCGGCUGCACUCAAGACCCAGGCGCCAGCUGCCGUGCCGGGUAGUCAGAGAGCCGGUGCCGAUCCCACAGGGCCCGGGACACAGGUCGAGCUUUAUCCCGGGACCUGCUUUCUGCCCUGUUCCAGCCUGUCCUUCCACCUCUGGGGCUGAAAACUAAAAUCAUUAAUCACUGUGGUUGUGUUCACGGCAGACUUUUUGUCCGAGAACUCAGGGAACAGCAGAGCUAGGAUUUUCCUCACUUUUAUUUUAUCUCUGCUUCCUGGUGUGUCACUCAGCCCGUCCCCUCCUGCCACUCUCAGCAGUCUGGAUGGCAGAGGAGGCUGGAGUCCAGCAGCAGAGGACAGAGGACGCCCUGCAGACUCCUGCAGUUUGUACUGGAAAGACAAAAACUCACCUCAGGGAAUCAGACCUGGAGAGGUUUCAUGGUUUGUGAGUUUCUCCUGUGGUUUAAGCAACAGGUUUCUAGGGGGCUCCCUCCUCCCAACCCCCUCCCCAUCUUUAUUUAAUGAGAGUUAAUGAAAAUAAAAC